rnacentral:lncRNA from 1 species
CAAAAAAUAAAGUACAAAUAGAAAAGUUCAAUCGGUAUAAACAUUGUAACAUGUACACCAUAGUUUACACUUUACCACGUGGCAUUACACUGUUGGACAGUUUAAAUUUCAAAUAGUUUUCCCAUCCAAUUGACACUUGACGGCAAUUCAAGUGUCAAACAACGUGUAAAAAAUCAGUGAACAAAUAGCAAAGUUCAAUCGAUAAGAACCUUGCGACAUGUACACUAUGGUGUACACUUUAAUUUGCACUUUACCACGUGACAUUACCCUGUUGGACAACUUAAAUUUCAAACAACUUUCCCAUCCAAUUGUUACUUGACAACAAUGCAAGUGCCAAACAAAAUGUCAAAAAUCGGCGUACAAAAUAGCAAAAGUUUAAUCGAUAAGAACCUUGCUACAUGUACACCAUGGUGUACACACUUUAGUUUUCAUCUUGCCUCGUGACAUUUACCUGUUGGACAGUAUAAAUUUCAAAUAGUUUUCCCAUCCAAUUGACAGUUGAUAAUAAUGAAAGUGUUAAGCAACGUGUCAAAAAUCAAAGUACAAACAGCAAAGGUCAAUCGGUAUGAACCUUGCUACAUGUAAACCUUAGUUUACACUUUGCCACGUGACAUUACCCUGUUGAACAGUUUAAAUUUCAAAAGUUUUCCCACCCAAUUGACACCUGACAGCAAUGCAAGUGUCAAACAACGUGUCAAAAAUCGGUGUACAAACAGCAAAGUUCAAUCGGUAAGGACCUUGCUAUAUGUACACAAUGGUGUACACUUUAGUUUACACUUUUUCACUUGACAUUACCCUGUUAGAUAGUUUAUAUUUCAAAUUGUUUUCUCAUCCAAUUGAUACUUGACAACAAUGCAAGUGUCCAACAAUGUGGCAAAAAUUAGUGUACAAAUAGAAAAGUUCAAUCGCUAAGACCUUGCUACAUGUACACGAUGGUGUACACUUUAGCUUACACUUUGCCACGUGACAUUACACUGUUGGACAGCUUAAACUUCAAACAGUUUUCUCAGCCAAUUGACACUUGACAACAAUGCAAGUGCCAAACAACGUGUAAAUAAUAAGUGUACAAAUAGCAAAAGUUCAAUCAGUAAGGAUCUUGCCACAUGUACACUACGGUGCACACUUUAGUUUACACUUGGCCACGGGACAUUACCCUGUUGGACAGUUUAAAUUUUAAACAGUUUUCCCACCUAAUUAACACUUGACAACAAUGCAAGUGUCAAACAACGUGUCAAAAAUCAAUGUACAAAUAGCAAAGUUCAAUCGGAAAGAACCUUACUACAUGUACACUAUGAUGUACACUUAAAUUAACACUUUGACACGUGACGUUACUCUGUUGGACAGUUUAAAUUUCAAACAGUUUUCCCAUCUAAUUGACACUUGAACAACAAUGCAAGUGUCAAACAACGUGUCAAAAAUCAGUGUACAACUAGCAAAGUUCAAUCGGUAAGAAUCUUGCGACAUGUACACUAUGGUGUACGCUCUAGUUAACACUUUUCCACGGGUCAUUACCUUGUUGGCCAGUUUAAAUUUCAAAUAGUUUUUUCAUCCAAUUGACACUUAAAAACAAUGCAAGUGUCAAACAACGUGUCAAAAAUCAGUGCACAUAUAGAAAAGUUCAAUCGAUAAGAACCUUGCGACAUGUACACUAUGGUGUACACUUCAAUCUACAUUUCCUCACGUGACAUUACCCUGUUGGACAGCUUAAAUUUCAAACAGUUUUUCCAUCCAAUUGACACUUGACAACAAUGCAAGUGUCAAACAACAUAUCCAAAAUCAGUGUACAAAUAGCCAAGUUCAAUCGGUAAGAACCUUACUAUAUAUACACCAUGGUGUACGCACUUUAGUUUACACUUUUCCACAUGACAUUAGCUUGUUGGCAGUAUAAAUUUCAAAUAAUUUUCACAUCCAAUUGACACUUCACAACAAUGCAAGUGUCAAACAACAUGUUAAAAAACAAAGUACAAAUAGCAAAGUUCAAUCGGUACGAACCUUGCUACAUGUACACCUUAGUUUACACUUUACCACGUGGCAUUACACAGUUGGAUAGUUUAAAUUUCAAGUAGUUUUUUGAUCCAAUUGACACUUGAGAACAAUGCAAGUGUCAAACAACGUGUCAAAAAUCAAUGCACAAAUAGCAAAGUUCAAUCGGUAAGAACCAUACGACAUGUACACUAUGGUGUACACUUUAAUUUACACUUUACCACGUGAUAUUACCCUGUUGGACAACUUAAAUUUCAAACAGUUUUCCCAUCGAAUUGACACUUGACAACAAUGCAAGUGUCAAACAAUAUGUCAAAAAAUGGUGUACAAAUAGCAAAGUUCAAUCGAUAAAAAUCUUGCUACAUGUACACCAUGGUGCACACACUUUAGUUUUCACUUAGCCACAUGACAUUACCCUGUUGGACAGUAUAAAUUUCAAACAGUUUUCCCAUCCAAUUGACACUUGACAACAAUACAAGUGUCAAACAACGUGUUGAAAAUUAGUGUACAAAUAGCAAAGUUCAAUCAGUAAGGACAUUACCACAUGUACACUAUGGUGUACACUUUAGUUCACACGUGGCCACGUGACAUUACCCUGUUGGACAGUUUAAAUUUUAAAUAGUUUUUCCACUCAAAUGACACUUGACAACAAUGCAAGUGUCAAACAACGUGUCAAAAAUUAGUGUACAAAUAGCAAAGUUCAAUUAGUAAGAACCUUGCAACAUGUACACCAUGGUGUACACUUUAGUUUAAACUUUGCCACGUGACACUACUCUGCUGGAUAGUUUAAAUUUCAAAUAGUUUUCCCAUCCAAUUGACAUUUGAGAACAAUGUACGUGUCAAACAACAUGUCAAAAAUUAGUGUACAAAUCGCAUAGUUCAAUUGGUAAGAACUUUGCUACAUGUAUACCAUGGUGUACACACUUUAGUUUACACUUUGCCAGGUGACAUUGACCUGUUGUACAGUAUAAAUUUCUAACUAUUUUCCCAUCCAAUUGACCCUUGACAACAAUGCUAGUGUUAAACGGCUUGUGAAAAAUCAAUUGACAAAUAGCAAAGUUCAAUCGGUAUGAACCUUGCUACAUGUACACCUCAAUUUACACUUUGGCAAGUGACUUUGCCCUGUUCAUUAUUUUAAAUUUCAAAAAGUUUUUCCAUCCAGCUGACACUUGACAACAAUGCAAGUGUCAAACAACUAGUCAGAAAUCAGUGUACAAAUAGCAAAGCUCAAUCGGUAAGAACAUUGCUACAUGUACACUAUGGUGUACACUUUACUUUACACUUUGCCACGUGAUAUUUCUCCAUUGGACAGUCUAAAUUUCAAAUAGUUAUCCCAUCCAUUUGACACUUGACAACAAUGCAAGUGUCAAACAAUGUGUCAAAAAUCAGUGUACAAAUCGCAAAGUUCAAUCGGUAAGGACCCUGCCACAUGUACACAAUUGUGUACACUUUAGUUUGCACUUUACCACGUGACAUUACCCUAUUGGACAAUUUAAAUUUCAAACAGUUUUCCCAUCCAACUGACACUUGACAACAAUGCAAGUGUCAAACAACAUGUCAAAAAUUAGUAUACAAAUAGCAAAGUUCAAUCGGUAAGAACCUUGCUACAUGUACAUUAUGUUGUACACUUUAGUUUACACUUUGCCACGCGACAAUAUCCUAUUGGACAGUUUAAAUUUCAAAAAGUUAUUCCAUCCAAUUGACACUUGACAACAAUGCAAGUGUCAAACAUCAUGUUGAAAAUCAGUGUACAAAUAGCAAAGUUCAAUCAUUAAGAACCUUCCUACUUGUACACCAUGGUAUGCACUUAAAUUUACACUUUGCAUGUGAUGUUACGCUGUUGGAUAGUUUAAAUUUUAAACACUUUUUCCAUAUAAUUGACAUUUGACAACAGUACAAGUGUCAAACAACGUGUCAAAAAAUAGUGUACAAAUAGCAAAGUUCAAUCAGUAAGAACCUUGCGACAUAUACACCAUGGUGUACACUUUAGUUUAAACUUUGCCACGUGACACUACUCUACUGGACAGUUUAAAUUUCAAACAGUUUUUCCAUCCAAUUGACACUUGACAACAAUGUAAGUGUCAAACAACAUGUCAAAAAUCAGUGUACAAAUCACAUAGUUCAAUUGGUAAGAACCUUGCUACAUGUACACCAUGGUGUACACACUUUAGUUUACACUUUGCCACGUGACAUUGACCUGUUGUACAGUAUACAUUUCUAACUAUUUUCCCAUUCAAUUGAAAUUUGACAACAAUGCUAGUGUCAAACGGCUUGUCAAAAAUCAAUCGACAAAUAUCAAAGUUCAAUCGGUAUGAACAUUGCUACAUGUACACCUCAAUUUACACUUUGGCGCGUGACAUUACCCUGUUCGAUAGUUUAAAUUUCAAACAAUUUUCUCAUCCAGUUGACACUUGAUAACAUUGCAAGUGUCAAACAUCUAGUCAAAAAUCAGUGUGCAAAUAGCAAAGUUCAAUCGGUAAGAACCUUGCUACAUGUACACUAUAGUGUACACUUUAAUUUACACUUUGCCACAUGACAUUACCCUGUUGGUCAACUUAAAUUUCAAACAGUUUUCUCAUCCAAUUGACACUUGACAACAACGCAAGUGUCAAACAAUAUGUCAAAAAAUAGUGUACAAAUAGCAAAGUUCAAUCGGUAAGAACCUUGCUACAUGUACACCAUAGUGUACACACUUUAGUUUUCACUUAGCCACAUGACAUUACCCUGUUGGACAGUAUAAAUUUCAAACAGUUUUCCUAUCCAAUUGACACUUGACAACAAUGCAAAUGUCAAACAACGUGUCGAAAACUAGUGUACAAAUUGCAAAGUUCAAUCGGUAAGGACCUUGCCACAUGUACACAAUGGUGUACACUUUAGUUUACACUUUGCCACGUGAUAUUACUCUAUUGGACAAUUUGAAUUUCAAACAGUUUCCCCAUCUAUCUGACACUUGACAACAAUGCAAGUGUCAAACAACGUGUCAAAAAUUAGUGUACAAAUAGCAAAGUUCAAUCAGUAAGAACCUUGCUACAUGUACACUACGUUGUACACUUUAAUUUACACUUUGUCACGUGACAAUAUCUUGUUGGACAGUUUAAAUUUCAAAAUGUUAUUCCAUUCGAUUAACACUUGACAACAAUGCAAGUGUCAAACAACGUGUCAAAAAUUAGUGUACAAAUAGCAAAGUUCAAUCUGUAAGGACCUUGCCACAUGUACACUAUGGUGUACACUUUAGUUUACACUUUGCCAUGAGACAUUGCCCCGUUGGACAGUUUAAAUUUCAAACAGUUUUCCUAUCCAAUUGACACUUGACAGUAAUGCAAGUGUCAAACAACGUGUCCAAAAUCAGUGCACAAAUAGCAAAGUUCAAUCGGUAAGAACCUUGCGACAUAUAAACUACGGUGUACACUUUAAUUUACACUUUGCCAUGUGACAUUACACUGUUGGAUAGCUCAAAUUUCAAACAAUUUUCCCAUCUAAUUGACACUUGACAACAAUGUAAGUGUCAAACAACAUGUCAAAAAUUAGCGUACAAAUUGCAUAGUUAAAUUGGUAAGAACAUUGCUACAUGUACACCAUGGUGUACACACUUUAGUUUACACUAUGCCACGUGACAUUUACCUGUUGUACAGUAGAAAUUUCAAAUCGUUUUCCCAUCCAAAUGACACUUAACAACAAUGCAGUGUCAAACGGCUUGUCAAAAAUUAAUGGACAAAUAGCAAAGUUCAAUCGGUAUGAACCUUGCUACAUGUACACCUCAAUUUACACUUGGGCACGUGACAUUGCCCUGUUGGACAGUUUAAAUUUCAAACAAUUUUUCCAUCCAGUUGACACUUGACAACAAUGCAAGUGUCAAACAAUGAGUCAAAAAUUAGUGUACAAGUAGCAAAGUUCAAUUGGUAAGAACCUUCUUACAUGUACACUUUACUUUACACUUUGCCACGUGACAUUACUCCAUUGGACUGUCUAAAUUUCAAAUAGUUAUCCCGUCAAAUUGACACCUGACAACAAUGCAAGUGUCAAACAACGUGUCAAAAAUCUGUGUACAAAUCGCAAAAUUCAAUUGGUAAGGACCUUGCCACAUGUACACAAUGGUGUACACUUUAGUUUACACUUUGCCAAAUGACAUUAUCCUAUUGGACAAUUUAAAUUUCAAACAGUUUACCCAUCCAACUGACACUUGACAAUAAUACAAGUGUCAAACAACAUGUCAAAAAUUAGUGUACAAAUAGCAAAGUUCAAUCGGUAAGGACCAUGCUGCAUAUACACUAUGGUGUACACUUUAGUUUACACUUUGCCACAUGACCCUACCCUGUUGGACAGUUUAAAUUUCAAAUAGUUUUCCCAUCUAAUAGACACUUGACAACAUUGCAAGUGCCAAAGAACGCGUAAAAAUUCAGUGUACAAAUAGCAAGGUUCAAUCUGUAGGAAAUGCGAGUGUCAGACAACGUGUCAAAAAUCAAUGUACAAAUAGCAAAGUUCAAUCAGUAAGAACCGUGUUUCAUGCACACUAUGGUGUACACUUUGGUUUACACUUUGCCACGUGAUAUUACCCUGUUGGACAGUUUAAAUUUCAAAUAGUUUUCCAAUCCAAUUGACACUUGACAGCAAUGCAAGUGUCAAACAAUGUGUCAAAAAUCAAUGUACAAAUAGCAAAGUGCAAUCGGUAAGAACCUUGCUACACGUACACUAUAAUACACAAUUUAGUUAACACUCUGCCACGUGACAUUACCCUGUUUGACAGUUUAAAUUUCAAAUAGUUUUCACAUCUAGUUGACUCUUGACAACAAUGCAAGUGUUAAAUAAUGUGUUAAGAAUCUGUGUACAAAUAGCAAUGUUCAAUCGGUAUGAACUUUACGACAUGUACGCUAUGAUGUAUACUUUAGUUUACACUUUGUCUCUUGACAUUACACUAUUUGACUGUUUAAAUUUCAAAUAUUUUUCCCACUCAAUUACCCUUGACAACAAUGCAAGUGUCAAACAACAUGUCAAAAAUCAGUGUACAAAUAGCAAAGUUUAAUCGGUAAGAACUUUGCGAAAUGUACACUGUGGUGUACACUUUAGUUUACACUUUACCUCUUGACAUUAUACUAUUUGACAGUUUAAAUUUCAAAUAGUUUUCCCACCCAAUUGCCCCUUGACAACAAUGUAAGUGUCAAACAACGCGUCAAAAAUUAGUGUACAAAUAACAAAGUUCAAUCGACAAGAAUCUUGCUACAUGUACACUAUGGUGUACACUUCAGUUUACACUUUGCCACGUGACUUUAACCUGUUGGACAGUUUAAAUUUCAAACAAUUUUCUAAUCCAAUUGACACUUGGCAACAAUACAAAUGUCAAACAAUGUGUCAAAAACCAGUGUACAAAUAGCAAAAUUUAAUCGGUAAGAACCUUGCUCUACGUACACUAUAGUGCACACUUUAGUUUACACUUUGCAACAUGACAUUACCCCAUUUGACAGUUUAAAGUUUACACUUUGCCACGUGCCUUUACCCUGUUGGACAGUCUAAAUUUCAAACAUUUGUCCCAUCCAAUUGACACUUGACGACAAUGCAAGUGUCAAACAACGUGUUGAGAAAUAGUGUACAAAUUGCGAAGUUCAAUCGGUAGCAACCUUGCUACAUGUACGCUAUGGUGUACACACUUUAGUUUACACUUUGCCACGUGACCAUACCCUACUGGACAGUUUAAAUUUCUAACAGUUUUCCCAUCCAAUUGACACUUGACAACAAUGCAAGUUGCAAACAACGUGUCAAAAAUUAGUGUACAAAUACCAAAGUUCAAUCGGUAUGAACCAUGCUACAUGUACACUAUGGUGUACACUUAAAUUUACACUUUGCCACGUGCCUUUACCCUGUUGGACAAUUAAAAUUUCAAACAGUUUUUCCAUCCAAUUGACACUUGACAACGAUGCAAGUGUCAAACAAUGUGUCAAAAAUUAGUGUAAAAAUUGGAAAGUUCAAUCGGUAAGAACCUUGCUACAUGUACACCAUGGUGUACACUUUACCACGUGACAUUACCCAGUUGGACAAUUUAAGUUUCAAACUAUUUUUCCAUCCAACUGACACUUGAUAACAAUGCAAGUGUCAAACAACGUGUCAAUAAUCAGUGUACAAAUAGCAGUUUUCCCAUCCAAUUGACACUUGACGACAAUGCGAGUGUCAAACAACGCGUCAAAAAUCAGUGUACAAAUAGCAAAGUUCAAUCGAUAAGAACCUUGUUACCUUUAGUUUACACUUUGUCACGUGACAUUACCCUAUUAGACAGUUUAAAUUUCAAACAAUUUUCCCAUCCAAUUGACAAUUGACAAUAAUGCGAGUGUCAAACAACGAGUCGAAAAUUAGUGUACAAAUAGCAGUUUUCCCAUCCAAUUGACUCUUGACAACAAUGCAAGUGUCAAACAACGUGUCAAAAAUCUAUGUAUAGUUAGGAAAGUUCAAUCAGUAACGACCUUGCUACAUGAAUACUAUGGUUUACUCUUCAGUUUACACUUUGCCAUGUGACAUUACCCCGUUGGACAAUUUAAAUUUCGAACAGUUUUCCCAUCCAAUUGACACUUGGCAACAAUGCAAGUGUAAAACAACGUGUCAAAUAUCAGUGUACAAAUAGCAAAGUUCAAUCGGAAUGAAACAUGCUACAAGCACACUAUGACGUACACUUUAGUUUUCACUUUGCUACGUGAAAUUACUCUAUUGGACAGUUUAAAUUUCAAACAGUUUUUCCAUCCAAAUGACACUUGACAACAAUGUAAGUGUCAAAUAAUAUGUCAAAAAUCUGUGUACAAAUAGCAAAGUUCGAUCGAUAAGAACUUUGCUACAUGUAAACUUUGGUGUACACUUUAGUUUACACUUUGCGACGUGACACUACCAUGUUGGACAGUUUAAAUUUCAAACAAUUUUCCCUUCCAAUUGACACUUGACAACAAUGCAAGUGUCAAACAACGUGUCAAAAAUAAAUGCACAAAUAGCAAAAUUUAAUUGGUAAGAACCAAGCAACAAGUACGCUAUGGUCUACACUUUAGUUUUCACUUUGCCACGUGAAAGUACACUAUUGGACAGUUUAAAUUUCAAACAAUUUUUCCAUCCAAUUGACACUUGACAACAAUGCAAGUGUCAAACAACGUGUCAAAAAUUAGUGUACAAAUAGCAAAGUUCAAUCGGUGAGGACCUUGCUACUUGUACACUUUAGUUUACUCUUUGCCACGUGACAUUAGCUUGUUGGACAAUUUAAUUUUCAAAUUAUUUUCCCAUCCAAUUGAAACUUGUCACUUUUGCCACGUGACAUUAGCCUGUUGGACAGUUUAAAUUUCAAAUAGUUUUCCCAUCCAAUUGACACUUGACAACAAUGCAAGUGUCAAACAACGUGUCAAAAAUCAGUGUACAAAUAGCAAAGUUCAAUCGGUAUGAACCAUGCCACAAGUACGCUAUGGUGUACACUUUAGUUUACAAUUUGCCACAUGACAUUACCCAGUCAGGCAUUUUAAAUUUCAAAAAGUUUACCCAUCCAAUUGACACUUGACAACAUUGCAAAUGUCAAACAACAUUUCAAAAAUCAGUGUACAAAUAGCAAAGUUCAAUCGAUAAGAACCUUACUACAUGUACACUAUGGUGUACACACUUUAGUUUACACUUUGUCACAUUACAUUACCCUAUUAGACAGUUUAAAUUUCAAAAACUUUUCUAUAAUACCCCGAACUUCACGUUCUACAUUUGGCCAAUAUGAUUCAUGCAUUCCAUUCGGCUAAUCGAGGUCACCUUAAACCCUAGAUAGGUAAUUCACAUAUUUGGGACAUGAGGGAUGAAGUGACAUUAUCACAACGUAAUAAUAUAUGUCUUAUAUGACAUUAUAAAUAUUGAGGUGCGAAUUGUUGAAAUCGGUUGAAAAUCGGGUAAGAAAUUAAAUGAACAGUUGAGGAAUUAGAUCUAUAAAAUACUUUGGGAUCUUAAUGCAAGUGAAAUAGAUUGUAAGCACAUCAAAAUAAACCAAUGACACUUGAUUUAUACCUGCAAGGAUAAAUGUAAAAUCAGAAUUUAAUCAAAGGAGACAACACCUACUUAACAUGUGACGACUUGCCACUUUAACCUCUAAUUCCUUCAACCUUAAGCCUCCAACACAUCCUAUAAGUCCUUAGAACUUUACACAAGAUAUUUAUAACUCUUAUAAGUCACAUAUGGCUCCAUGUGGUGCAAGGGAGAAGUCAAAAUUGGCUGCAAGAAGCCACCUCCUACUUGGACAGCUCAUGCUAGGGGACUUUUUCACUUUAAUAUAUAAUUGCUUCAACCUUAAGGCAUAAAUUUCGUGUCUAAUCCCCAAGGACUUAAUAUAGGAUGAAUAUAUAUCUUAAAUAUCAUAAAUGGACACAAAAAUAAUGGUAGAAAAGUCAAGUAUUGCAGCGAAGAUGACAGCUCCUGCUUAGUGACUCACCUUGAUUGCUUGAGGUGGCUGCAGCCCAUGAUAUUCUUAAUCCUUAAGUAAUAUGCACGACUUCAACCAUUUAAACUCAUUUACCUCCUAGAUAAUAUAUUAACACCUGUAACUCAUCCCUAAGUGAUUCCAAGUGAAAAGAGGGUGAAACAGUCAAAGAGAAAUAGAAACAAGAAGCUGGAAUUUCUGAACAGCUUUGUUACUCCACAGUUUUGAGGUUUGUCUCUAUUAUUUCUUAAGGGGAUUAUGAUUUCUUGAACAUCUGAACUUGUUUGUGAUUAAGUUGGAGUGUUGUUAAUGAUGUUAUGAUGCCUAAAUAGGGGUAAUUAAUUGCAAGAAUUUGAAAGAAAGUAAUAUGGACAGAGAUGAGGAAUUGCUGGAUUGAGUGAUUUAUACCUUGAUUUUGGGAUGAUACUUAGUGUUUAACUUAUAUAUGUCGAUAUGAACGUUUUUAUAUGUAAGUAGGGAGUGUAGAANNNNNNNNNNNNNNNNNNNNNNNNNNNNNNNNNNNNNNNNNNNNNNNNNNNNNNNNNNNNNNNNNNNNNNNNNNNNNNNNNNNNNNNNNNNNNNNNNNNNNNNNNNNNNNNNNNNNNNNNNNNNNNNNNNNNNNNNNNNNNNNNNNNNNNNNNNNNUAUGAUCUGAUUAUCUUCACAUAUAUGUUAUAGGUGUGUGGUAAAAGUUUGGGAGCCGUUAAAUGUAGGUAAGGACAUGAAAAAGAAUUUGAAAAAUGAGUGGACGGUGAUGGAAACCUAGAAAAUAGAUUCUGUCCAUUUGGGUAUUUAAUGUGAUUUCAACAUUCUUGGGCCUAGAAAAUAUAUCCUAAGGAAUACUAGGUUGUUGAAAACAGUUGGAUGACGUUGACGUUCAUAAUUGGACUCGAGAGAUAGCGAGACUUACGGGAUUAGUUUGUAAUGCCAUCGGUAACUUGAAAUAAUGAUUUUGUCUAAAUUGUUUUGGCGUGAAUGGACGUAUUUUGGGAUUGUGUGUGUUAAGAUUAUUAAAUGGAGGAUUGUAUUUAAUAUUAGAUGAUAAUACAAGUGACUUUUCGACGUUGAGCGAAAAAGGGAAUUGAUACACACUCCAUAGGAGCUUACACACAUAAAGGCGAAAGGUAAGUGAAAAUCCAUUUGCAACUACGAUGCAAGAACCUAGUAAAUGUGACAUAGUAAUGUUGAAGUAUCUACAUAACUUUGAUAAGAGGCUUAUAGCACAUCAUAUGAUGGUUACGAUCAUUGAGUAUGAGGUUGCGUAACCUAUUGACAUCGAUUUCCAUUAAAUACGUCAUUUAUGAGCAUUUUCAUAUGCAUGCACGACAUGUGACAUGGUUGAAAAUCCUGCAUGCAAAACAUGAUUUCAAAGUGAGUUUCAUUAUAAAUGUUUUAUUGACCACUACUAGGGCACCGAGGCAUGUGAGGCAUGCUUAUGUGAUAUGUUUGGCAUUGCGGGUGUUACUUCCUUGGUGAUUGCAAAGGUGGACAGGGGAUGGGCCUUUGGUGAUCACGGGAGGGCGGACCACUCGACUGUGCCCUUGUGAUAUUAUGAUUAUUGUCGCUGUCGGGUGGGAUACUUCUAGGGUGAUCAUAGGGGUAGUCAGGGGAUGGGCCUCUAGUGGUCACGAGAGGAUGGUCCACUCGUCGGUGUCGAUUUCAUAUUGGCCAUUUGAUUAUUGAUAUUGAUAUUAUGCAGAGCUCUAUCCGGUGCAUAGUAGGUGGGUCAAGGGCCCAAUGAAAUGAAAGAUUUCAAGUGAAAUGAUUUCUAGUCGACUUUGACGAAUAUUGAAAUAUGAUACUUUUUAUCGUGAUAUUUAAAGUAAAUGACAUGGUGUCAUAUGUCGUUAUUACUCAUGUUCAGGACAUGCAUGAUUUUGCUUACUAAGCAUUAGCUUAUGUAGUUCUUGCAUUGUAGGUGAGCAUGGAACUACAUAGAGAGCAUGGCUAGCUGUGGAGCUCCUACAGGAUUCCAGAGUUCGAUGUACAUGGAUGACGACCUGUAGGGUUAUUUUGUAGGCUGCCAUCUGUAGGGUUAUAUUUUGGAAUCCUAUAUAGUGUGCUUUUGAAAUGGUCUGUAGACAUGUUUAUAAGCUCUGAAUAUAUAUGUUGGAUUAUGGCGAUAUGAUUUUGGGUUUUGAUAUAUUAUAUGAUUGUGUCACAGGUGAUUAGAAGUUAACAAACUCGAAAAAAAAUAUAUGUAAAAUUCUAUGUCUAGGUUGUGUUAGAUAUCAAUAUUAAUUUGGGGGUGUGACAUUUUCCCACCCAAUUGACACUUGACAACUAUGCAAGUGUCAAACAACGCUUCAAAAAUCAGCGUACAAAUAGCAAAAUUCAAUCAGUAUGAACCAUGCUACAUGUAAACUAUGGAGUACACUUUAUUUUUCACUUUCCCACGUGACAUUACCCUGCUGGACAGUUUAAAUUUUAAUCAGUUUUCCCAUCAAACUAACACUUGACAAAAAUACAAGUGUCGAACAACGUGUUAAAAAUCGGUGUACAAACUGCAAAGUUCAAUUGGUAAGAAUCUUGCUACAUGUAUACUGUGGUGUACACUUUAGUUUACACUCUGCCACGUGAUAUUAUCCAUUUGGACAGUAUAAAUUUCAAACAUUUUUCCCAUCCAACUGACACUUGAAAACAGUGCAAGUGAACGUGUCCAAAAUUAGUGUACAAAUAGCAGUUUUCCCAUCCAAUUGACACUUGACAACAAUGCGAGUGUCAAACAACAUGUCAAAAAUCUGUGUACAAAUAGCAAAGUUCAAUCAGUAAGAACCAUGCUACAUGUACACUAUGGUUUGCACUUUAGUUUACAAUUUGCCAGAUGACAUUACUCUAUUGGGCAGUUCAAAUUUAAAACAGUUUUUCCAUCCAAUUGACACUUGACAACAAUGCAAGUGUCAAACAACCUGUCAAAAAUUAGUGUACAAAUAGCAAAUUUCAAUUGGUAAGGACCUUGCUACAUGUACACUAUGGUGUACACACUUUAGUUUACACUUUGUCACGUUACAUUACCCUGUUAGAUAGUUUAAAUUUCAAAAAAAUUUCCCAUCCAAUUGACACUUGACAACAUUGCGAGUGUCAAACAACGUGUCAAAAAUCAGUGUACAAAUAGCAAAGUUCAAUCGAUAAGAACUUUGCUACAUGUACACUUUGGUGUACACUUUAGUUUAUACUCUGUCACGUGACAUUAUCCUGUUGGACAGUUUAAAUUUAAAAUAAUUUUCCCUUCCAAUUGAUACUUGACAACAAUGCAAGUGUCAAACAACGUGUCAAAAAUCAAUGUACCAAUAGCAAAGUUCAAUCGGUAAGAACCAUGCUACAAGUACACUAUGGUGUAUACUUUAGUUUUCUCUAUGCCGCAUGAAAUUACUCUAUUAGACAAUUUAAAUUUCAAACAGUUUUUACACCCAAUUGACACCUGACAACAAUAAAAGUGCCAAAUAACUUAGCGAAAAUUAGUGUACAAAUAGUAAAGUUCAAUCGGUAAGGACCUUGCUACAUAUACACUAUGGUGUACACUUUAGUUUACUCUUUGCCACGAGACAUUAGCCUGUUGGACAGUUUAAAUUUCAAAUAGUUUUCCCAUCCAACUGACACUUGACAACAAUGCAAGUGUCAAACAACGUGUUAAAAAUCAUUGUACAGUUAGCAAAGUUCAAUCGGUUAGGACCUUGCUACAUGUUUACUAUGAUUUGCACUUCAUUUUACACUUUGCCACGUGAUAUUACCCUGUUGGACAGUUUAAAUUUCAAAUAGUUUUCCCAUCCAAUUGACACUUGACAACAAUGCAAAUGUCAAACAACAUGUCAAAAAUCAGUGUACAAAUAGCAAAGUUAAAUCGGUAUGGACCUUGCUACAUGUACACUAUGGUGUACACUUUAAUUUACACUUUGCCACGUGACAUUACCCUGUUGGACAGUUUAAAUUUCAAAUAGUUUUCCCACCCAAUUGACAUUUGACAACAAUGCAAGUGUCAAACAACGUGCAAAAAUCGGUGUACAAAUAGCAAAUUUCAAUCGGUAAGAACCUUGUUGCAUGUACACUAUGGUGUACGCACUUUAGUUUACACUUUGCCACGUGACAUUACCCUUCUAGACAGUUUAAAUUUCAAAAAGUUUUCCCAUCCAAUUGACACUUGACAUCAUUGCAAGUGUCAAACAACGUGUCAAAAAUCAGAGUACAAAUGGCAAAGGUCAAUCGGUAAGAACCUUGCUACAUGUACAAUUUGGAGGACACUUUAGUUUACACUUUGCCAAUUGACAUUACCCUGUCGGACAGUUUAAAUUUCAAAUAGUUUUCCCAUCAAAUUGACACUAGACAACAAUACAAGUCUCAAACAACGUGUCAAAAAUCACUGUACAAAUAGCAAAGUUCAAUCGGUAUGAACCAUGCCACAUGUACUCUAUAGUGUACACUUUAGUUUUCACUUUGCUACGUGACAUUACCCUGUUGGAUAGUUCAAAUUUCAAACAGUUUUCCCAUCCAGUUGACACUUCACAAUAAUGCUAGUGUCAAACAACCUGUCAAAAAUUAGUGUACAAAUAGCAAAUUUCAAUCGGUAAGGACCUUGCUACAUGUACACUAUGGUGUACACUUUGCCACGUGACAUUACCCAGUUAGACAGUUUAAAUUUUCAAAAGUUUUCCCAUCUAAUUGACACUUGACAACAUUGCAAGUGUCAAACAACAUGUCAAAAAUCAGUGUACAAAUAGCAAAGUUCAAUCGAUAAGAACCUUGUUACAUGUACAUAUGCUGAACACACUUUAAUUUACACUUUGCCAUGUGACAUUACCCUGCUGGACAAUUUAAAUUACUAACAGUUUUCCCGUCCAAUUGACACUUGACAACAAUGCAAGGGUCGAAUAACGUGUCAAAAAUCAGUAUACAAAUAGCAAAGUUCAAUCGGUAAGAACCAUGCUACAUGGACACUAUAGUGUACACUUUAGUUUACACUUUGCUACGUGACAUUACCCUGUUGGAUAGUUCAAAUUUCAAAUAGUUUUCCCAGCCAGUUGACACUUGACAACAAUGUAAGUCUUAAACAACGUGUCAAGAAUCAGGGUACAAAUUGCAAAGAUCAAUCGGUAAGAACCUUGCUACAUGUAUACUAUGGUGUACACUUUAGUUUACACUUUGCCACGUGACAUUACCCAGUUGGACAGUUUGAAUUUUAAAAAUGCUUGCCAUCCAAUUGACACUUGACAACAUUGCAAGUUUCAAACAACGUGUCAAAAAUCAGUGCACAAAUAGCAAAGUUCAAUCAGUAAGAACCUCGCUAACAUGUACACUUUGGUGUACACUUUAGUUUACGCUUUGCCACGUGACAUUUCCCUGUUGGACAGUUUAAAUUUCUAACAGUUUUCCCAUCCAAUUGACACUUGACAACAAUGCAAGUGUCGAACAACAUGUCAAAAAUCAGUGCACAAAUAGCAAGGUUCAAUCGGUACGGUUCUUGCGACAUGUACACUAUGGUGUACACUUUAGAUUACACUUUGUCAAGUGACAUUACCCUGUUGGACAGCCUAAAUUUCAAACAGUUUUCCCAUGCAAUUGAAACUUGGCAACAUUGCAAGUGUUAAACAACUAGUCAAAAAUCAGUGCACAAUAGCAAUGUUCAAUCAAUAAGAACCUUGCUACAUGUACACUAUGAUAUACACUUUAGUUUACGCAUCAGCACGUGACAUUACCCUGUUGGACAGUUUAAAUUUCACACAAUUUUCCCAUUCAAUUGACACUUGAAAACAAUUUAAGUGUCAAAAAAAGUGUCAAAAAUCAGUGUACAAUUUGCAAAGUUCAAUCGGUGAGGUCCUUGCUACAUGUACACUAUGGUGUACACUUUAGAUUACACUUUGUCAAGUGACAUUACCUUGUUAGACAGUUCAAAUUUCAAAUAGUUUUUCCAUCCAAUUGAAACUUGGCAACAUUGCAAGUGUCAAACGUGUCAAAAAUCAGUGCACAAAUAGCAAAGUUCAAUCGAUAAGAAUCUUACUACAUGCAUGCUAUGGUGUACACUUUAGUUUACACUAUGCCACGUGACAUUACCCUAUUGGAUAGUUAAGUUUUCAAAUAGUUUUUUCAUCCAAUUGACACUUGACAACAAUGUAAGUGUCAAACAAUGUGUCAAAAAUCAGUGUACAAAUAGCAAAAUUCAAACUGUAAGAACCUUGCCACAUGUACACUAUGAUGUACACACUUUAGUUUACACUUUGCCACGUGACAUUACCUUGCUGGACAGGUUGAAUUUCAAAUAGUUUUCCAAUCCAAUUGACACUUGACAACAAUGCAAGUUUCAAACAACGUGUCAAAAAUAAGUGUACAAAUAGCAAAGUUCAAUCGGCAAGAACCUUACUACAUGUAACCUAUGGGGUAUACUUUAGAUUACACUUUACCACGUGACAUUAUCUAGUUGGACCAUAUAAAUUUCAAACAAUUUUCCCAUCCAAUUAACACUUAAUAACAAUGCAAGUGUCAAACGACGUGUCAAAAAUCAGUGUACAAAUAGCAAAGUUCAAUCGAUUAGAACCAUGCUAGAUGUACAAUAUGGUGUACAGUUUAAAUUAUACUUUGUCACGUGACAUCACCCUAUUGGCAAUUUAAAUAUCGAUAGUUUUCCCAUCCAAUUGACACUUGACAACAAUGCAAUGGUCAAACAAUGUGUCGAAAAUCGGUGUAUAAAUAGCAAAGUUCAAUCAGUAAGGUCCUUGCUAUAUGUACACUAUGGUGCACACUUUAGUUUACACUUUGCCACGUGACAUUACCCUAUUAGAUAGUUCAAAUUUCAAGCAGUUUUUCCAUCCAAUUGAAACUUGACAACAAUGAAAGUGUCAAACAACGUGUCAAAAAUCAGUGUACAAAUAGUAAAGUUCAAUCGGUAAGAACCAUGUUACAUGGAUACUAUGGUGUAUACUUUAGUUUACACUUAGCCACAUGAAAUUACUCUGUUGAACGUUUAAAUUUCAAAUAGUUUUAUCAUCCAUUUGACACUUGACAACAAUGCACUUCAAACAACGUGUCAAAAAUCAGUGUACAAACAGCAAAAAUCAAUCGGUAUGAACCAUGCUACAUGUGCAUUAGGGUGUACACUUUAGUUUUCACUUUACCACGUGACAUUACCAUGCUGGAUUGUUUAAAUUUCAAAUAGUUUUCCCAUCCAAUUGACACUUGACAACAAUGUAUGUGUUAAACAACGUGUCAAGAAUCAGUGUACAAAUUGCAAUGUUCAAUCGGUAAGAAUCUUGCUACAUGUACACUAUGGUGUAUACUUUAGUUUACAUUUUGCCAGGCGACAUUACCCAGUUGUACAGUUUAGAUUUUAAAAAGUUUUCCCAUCCAAUUGACACUUGAAAACAUUGCAAGUGUCAAACAACGUGUCAAAAAUCAGUAUACAAAUAGCAAAGUUCAAUCGGUAAGAACCAUGCUUCAAGUACACUACGGUGUACACUUUAGUUUUCACUUUGGCACGUGACAUUACCCUAUUGGAUAGUUUAAAUUUCAAACAGUUCUCCCAUCCAAUUGACACUUGACAACAAUGCAAGUGUCAAACAACGUGUCAAAAAUAAGUGUACAAAUAGCAAAAUUCAAUCGGUAAGAACAUUGCUGCAUGUACACUAUGGUGUACACACUUUAGUGUACACUUUGCCACGUGACAUUACCCUGUUGGACAGUUCAAAUUUCAAACAGUUUUCCUAUCCAAUCGACACUUGACCACAAUGCAAGUGUCAAACAUUGUGUCAUAAAUUUGUGUACAAACAACAAAGUUCAAUCGGUAAGGACCUUGCUACACGUACACUAUGGUCUACACUUUAGUUUACACUUUGACACGUGACAUAAUCCUGUUGGACAGUUUAAAUUUCAAACAGUUUUUCCAUCCAAUUGACACUUGACAACAAUGCAAGUGUCAAAAAACCAAUCAAAAAUCAGUACACAAAUAGCAAAGUUCAAUCGGUAAGAACCUUUCUACAUGUAUACUAUGGUGUACACUUUAGUUUCCACUUUGCCACGUGAUAUUAUCCUGUUGGACAGUUUAAAUUUCAAAUAGUUUUUCCAUCCAAUUGACACUUGACUACAAGGCAAGUGUCAAACAACGUGUCAAAAAUCAGUGUACAAAUAGCAAAGUUCAAUCGAUAAGAACUUUGUUAGAUGUACAAUAUGUUGUAUACUUGAAAUUUCACUUUGUCACGUGACAAUACCCUGUUGGACAAUUUAAAUAUCAAACAGUUUUCCCAUCCAAUUGACACUUGAAAAUAAUGGAAAGGUCAAACAACGUGUCUAAAAUCAGUGUACAAAUAACAAAGUUCAAUCGAUAAGGUCCUUCUACAUGUACACUAUGGUGUACACUUUAGUUUACACUUUGCCACGUGACAUUACCCUAUUAGUCAGUUCAAAUUUCAAACAGUUUUCCCAUCCAAUUGACACUUCACAAUAAUGCAAGUGUGAAACAACGUGACAAAAAUCAGUGUACAAAUAGCAAAGUUCAAUCGGUAAGAACCUUACUACAUGUACACUAUGAUGUACACUUUGGUUUACACUUUACCACGUGACAUUUGUAACGCCCCGGCCCCUAGUGGACCGGAACGCUACUUAUUUUACUUAGCUUAAUCGGUGGUUUAGUAACAAGUGUAUACGUUUUAGCGGAAGCUUACAUCUUCGGAUAAUAAUUUAAAUAACAAUACUUCAAAUACUUUAAAAAAAAAUACUGAAUCAUUUUUCAAAACAACAAAAUGUAAUUUAUUUGAAGAAAACAUAACUUGUUCUCGCAUUCUGCGUUAUUCAAAACUUUAAAGAAAUAAUAUUGGAAAACAUUUCAUAAAAAUAAAUCCAAAUCACUUAUUCACCAGAUUUUCAUGGGCUCGUUGCAUCACUCUCCAUCUUCUCCUCCAUCCAUGCCCGAGGUAGAAUUCCUUCAAUAUAGAGAUGGGAUUAAACCCGUGAGUUGAAAAACUCAAUAGAUGUCAUAGGUGAAUUCAUGAUCAAGCUAUACAUUUCAAAACAUUAACUUUAUAACUUUUCAUACAUGCCGUACCCGGAGGCACCAUUUGACAUGAAGGGGUAUGCCGUACCCGAGGGCACCAUUCGACAUACGAACAUUUCUUCAACAUAGAGGGGUAUGCCGUACCGGAGUACCAUUUGACAUACAACCAUUAACAUAGAGGGAUAUGCCGUACCGGAGUACCAUUUGACAUACAAACAUUAACAUGAAUCGAAACUUAUAACUUAACACGAUUAAACACAUUGCACCUCUACCUACCUUGAUUGAUGCUUUUGAAACUUUGAAAACUUGGAUUGAAAACUUCGAUGAAACUUGGACGUUGAAAGAAAUGUACUCCUUGGAUGUUUGAAAACCAUUGAGAAUUGAUGCUUGAAGACACUCCUUGAUAGCACCCAAAACUUCUAUGAAAAAUGCUUGAAAACACUUCUUAAACUUAUAGGAAAAAUAGUUUUCCUCCCUCUCUUUUUCUCUCUUGGAAAUUCUUUCUUUAGUAUGUAAAAGUUCUUGCUUUUGGUGUAAGAAAAAUGAGUGAAAUGAGAUCUCUAUUUAUAGGUAAAUAUCCCAUAACUUAAAGUAAAUGAAGGGUCAAAUUUCAUUUAAGAGUUAUGGGAUAUUUACCUAUAAAUAGAGAUCUCAUUUCACUCAUUUAAGAGAGAAAACAUGGGUGCCAUUUAAGUUUGAGGUUAAAUGCUUCAAUUUAGUGGGGUUUUUAUUGCCAAAAACGUGGGUGGCCCUUUGAGAAAAUAAUUGAUGAAAAUAAAUAUUUAAAUUCUAGAGAAAAACGAAAAUUUUCAUUUCAGGCAGUUUCGGUCGAUCAGUUGUAGUCCGGUUGGCACUGCAUAGCUUUCAGUGUUUCUAUCAUAACUUCUUCUCCCGAUAUCCGAUUGAGGUAAUUCAAAGUGCGUUGGAAAGCUAACUCAAAUAGAUACAACUUUUAUUUAGAUAUCAUUUUCCAAAUCUAAUGUUUCCUAUGUCAAAAAUGGGUCUCAAAUGAGACUAAAAAUCUGAAGUAUACUUUAGUCAUCCAAUAUUCAUGUCUUAGUGCCACUAAGGUGUCUAGAAUUAUUUGGGGUUCUACAUGAUAUGCUUUUCAGUCCCUGAGGCCGUAGUUCUGUGGGAUUUGUUCAGUUGAAUUUAAACUUCAACAGGUUUUAUACUCUUCACUACUUUGGUAACAUGUUGAGGUUAUCAAUUAUUUCCUAAUUUGACUAUAUUAUGACAUUUUUUGCGCCUUUUUCAGUCUACAAAUGAAGAAUUAGUUGGACAUAUUGAAUUGUUUAGUAGGAUGCAUUCCACAUCAAAAGGAUGGGAUAACCAACUAGCCGAGUCUCGAUAUGUAAGAUAUAUCAUUUAUUACACAAAGAUUUUAACAUUAAUAUUAUUUAUUUUAACAACCUUCUUCUAUUGUACGACAGAAAGAAAUGGUGGAGUUACAACAAUCACAAGCAGAGCUUGAAGAUGAAGCACCUAUAAUGGAUGAAGCAGAAAUAUGUGCUCGAGUUCUUGGUAAGAGUGCUGGGACUAUUUCUGGGAUUGGACCCACUCCACGCAAAUCAUACAGCAACAUAGUUACGGCUCCCCCUAAAUUGAUGCAACAGUUGGAAAUUCUUACAAAACAAGAUAAAGAGAAGGAUAAAGCUAUUAGUGAGCUUACACAAAGUCUCGAACAACAAGCAUUACUUAUCCAGAGCCUUGUUGUACGAAUGGAUAUGAGUCAGCAUCCUCCAACAGAACCAACCAAUGAUCCACCUCCAUUGCCUCCACCACCGCCAUCAAUUGGUGCUACCGUACUAUGAUUACAUUAUUGAAGUUACAAUUUAUCUUUUCGUGGUUAAAUAUUAGACGUUUAUGAUUAUACAUUGAUUAUUAGUAGUUAUCUAUGCAAUACAAUUUUCUUUUGUAGAACAUUUUUUUUGUUAAAUUUAAUAUUCUAUAGCUUUCGAUAUUGCUAAAUUAGUAAUUAUGAUGGUUGAAAAUUGAAAUAUUGGACAAAUUAUUAGCAGGAAUAAAAAAAUAUUUAAUAUAAAAGCAUUAAUACAUACGUCUAGCGACCACAUAUUGGUUGAUAAUAUCAUUCUUCAACCAAAUUAUGGUCACUGAAAAAUAAUGAAAAAAUUGUUGUCCUUCACCGACCAAUGAUUGGUCGCUAUAGUUAUCAAUGUUUACCGACCAACGAUUGGUCCACGAAAGGUAGCACUAUUCACCAACCAUAGGUUGGUCGCUAUUUCAUUAUCUUCACCAACCAAUCAUUGGUUGUUGUUAGUGUGAAAAUAUUUUGUUCCAAUAUAUUUACCUACGAACGUGUGAUCGCAAAAAAGUAUAAGCAACAAACUUCUAACAAUUAUGAGGGACCAAAACAUACUUCUUUUUGCGACCAUGUUGGUCGCUAAAUAUCUAACACUCAGCGACCAUCUAUCUUGGUCGCAAAAGACAUUUGAUGACAGCGAAUCAACAAAUUAAUCAACUUAUCAGCUACCAAAAAUCAAACCCUACCGCGACCAGUAUGUGGUCGUUUGAGAUGACAUGUACAGCGACCAGUAUGUAUGGUCGGUGAAGAGAUUUACCAACGGCGAAUUUGCGACCAUUAAGCGACCACAGAUACAUGGUCAGAAAAGGGCCCAACGUCCAGGAAAGACCUUUUAGCGACCAGUAAGAUUGGUCGUUGGAUGCAAGUUUUUUUGUAGUGUUACUUGAAAACUUAUUUUCUUGCAUACUUGCUUUCCAUAUUUUUCAAAGUUUGUUCAUUUUGAAAUUUGAAAAUACAUAACACAAAGUUUAUUUUCUCCCUCGUGUUCUGGGUUGUCUUUAUGCACGAUGUGAAAUGCAUCAUCAAAGUGGAGCAAAUAUCAUCUUAAGGAAAGCGCAAACACAUGCCUUGAUAUCCCUUGUGGAGUUAUUUUUUUCAUGUAAUUUUCAAAUAUCUUCAUCAACGGAUUUGGAUUGUUGCAAUUUCUUCAACUUAGAGUUCAAAGGGACUUUCUCCAACUUCGUCUACCUCUUACUCUUGCCAUUCAAAUAUAGCACCAACAUAGAAAGAGCUAUUCUAUUGGUGGAACAGGUAAACUCCAAUAUUAUUUUAUCAUUUUAUGUUUUUUUCCCCUUUCAUUUGAUUGAGCUCAAACUUCCCUUCUAAUUCAAGAUGUUAUAGAAAUCACGGCAAGGGUGAAACUCCUAUUUGAAUGAGAUCAAAAGAAAUGCAUUUUCUUGUUUGCAUAAAAAAAAAAAACUUCGUUGUAAAAGCGAUGAUAGAAGAACACUUGAAACAAGAUUAAUACAAAGGUUAAUAAUUUUAUUUUAUUUUAUUGGAAACAAAGUCAAUAGUCUAUUAGAAAAGAACUCUAACUACAAAGCUGAAAAUCGAUUUAAGAAGACAUACGAGGGGAGCCUCAUGCAUUUGGAGCUUUAAAGUUGGACGGAACUGGAUUGACCAAAAUUAUUAUCUCCAUAGUGUAAGAAGCAGAAAUUUUUGAAAAUGUACGUGGUUCAAUUUGGUUUCCUUCAAAAUAGAAACAAACCAAAUUGAGAAUUAUUCGAUUACAAUCAGUGGUUUCAUCUAAUUAAAAAACUCGUAAAAGCAAUUUAUUUCAAAGUUAUACUUUUUAUAAAAAUAAAAAAUAAAGAAAUCAUUCUUACAUUUUUUUUUUUUUUAUGUACUUUCAACUUUUUUUAUUAUAAAGGCUUAGCAAAAACAUGCUUUAAGUUGGCUUUAAGAAGAAAUUUUUUUCCCACAAUUUUGUUGUUGAAAGAAGUCAACCGACUCGCCUACAAAAUAUUAGUAUAGGUCAAAUGUUCUCUACAUUGUAGGCAAAAAGAUUGUUCAACUGCACUCAUAAGUAAAUUCAAUCUGACCUGCUUAUGAGUAUGCCCCCGUUUGGCCUCCAUUAAAUUUUAUUCCAUUACAUUUCAUUUUUCGCUUUCUUAUUUUCAACCAUGCAAUCUUUCAUAAAAUAAUAUUAUACGUAAAUCGAGAAUUUUUUUUUUUGCUUUUUUAACCACUCAGUUUUUAAAAGAACAUUUUCCCCCAUUUUCAUGUUCACAAAAUGGGGCGAAACGGGGCUAUAUUUUAAUAAAGAAAUGCUCCAAUAACUUUAUGGUUUAUAAUUUAUUUUAAUAUUAGAGUCACUCUUUCAAUUUUCUAACAAUAUUAAAAAUAUUUCCUCACAUUUUAAAUAUAUUAUUAACCUUCCUUAUUUGAGUAUCACAUACACCUCCUAACCAUGUUUUGAGUUAUAUAUAAUUUAAAAUGAGGUUGAUAUUUCCAAAAUACAUUUUUAAAGAAAAUAUAAAUUUUCUUCAAUUAACUACAAUGUAAUUUGUUCCCUUCAAUAAUUAAUUGAUACUUAAAUACUUUUGCAUAUACAAUUCUAAAUAUGUAUGUCAGUGGAGUCUCUAUCCUAAAAUUUGUCAAAGAAUUUCGUUAAAAAAUUAUUCAAAAUUUUUAAUUAAUUAUAUACAUAUUUUAAACAUUAACAAAAUGCAAAUUUUCUAAUGUAGAUUCAAAUUUAUAAAUUAACAUGCAAUUUUUAAGAUUCAAGUAAAAUUUUGAUAAACAAUAGAACAUUAUAUAAUUUCAUUUUUUUUGUUAAUUAAUAACUAUAUUACAUAAUAGAAUGUUAUGUGAUGUAUUACUUAUUGUCAUAUUUUGAAAACAAAUUAAGUAAAUUUAAUACUGAAUGAUAUUGAACAAGCUCCGCAUAUAACAUGUCAAUUUAUAGUUAUGUAAUUUACUUUGAAAAAAUUAAAAUCGAACUAAUCAUAGAAACUUUCCUUUUUUUUUUCUUUUUUUUUUUAAAUGCAUUUUAAUUAUCAUCUUUACUUUAGAUGAUAUAUAAAUAAAUGAUUAAAGAAAUAAAACGUUACUGAUAUUUUGAAAAUGUGAUGGUAUUUCUGUUGUUGUCUUAAAAGGUCAGAAGGUUCCUUUGACGUUGUCUCUAUUUUCAUCAAUAAAAAGAAUUCAAGCCGUUAAUAAUUUAAAAAUACUAAAAGAAAUUAUUAAUUAAUUGGUAAAACAUAUUCUAUUGGAUCUAUUAAAUAAAAAAUUUUAAGUUUGUAAUACAAUCAGCCUAAUACACUAAAAAUGCUGCAAACAGAUAACUUACAUUCUUGCGUCAUUCUUGAAAUACAAUCAUGUAGGCAGAGUUCUGAGCAAACGAAGAGCGCGCAUCCAGCUUGACCUUUCUGAAAGCACGAUUCUUCUCAAUACAGGAACUGCUCCUGCAGCAAUAAUGGCUGCAUGAUUUUCAUUGUUCAUGCUCAAAUUAUACAGUAUAGUUAAGCUAGCUUCAACAGCCCUUUCGGUCCCAGUUUCGAGCAGUUUCACCAGUGGAAAUAUUGCCCCCUCGGCUGCAACAGCUUGGGUUGAAUCCACCAACCCUUCCGAUAUUAUUCUGUUUAGUUCUAAAACAGCGGCUUCUUGAACCUCAGGAGAAAACGAGCUCUUAAUCUGUUCUAUCAACCUUGGGAUUGUUUCGUACAGAGUUACUUCUAUGUUGACUGGAUUCUCAAGGUCGAGAUUGGGACCUGAUAAAGAGCUUAAUUUCACUAGGCAAGCAGCGACCCAGUCUUUGUUGUGAAGAGGAAUGCUGGACAUGAGGGCGGCACGAAGCAAUUUGGUGAAGUGGAGAGAAUUAAUAGAUUGACGAAAGAGAUCAUAAUCAAGCAAUUUAGCAAGUAACCGCGAUGCUGCAGAUACUGCUUGGCCGGCUUCUUCAAGUUCCAGUGAUUGCAGUUCUGGCUUCUCAUCAUCAAUACCAUAUCCUUUUUCUGAUAAUAUCAAUUCAAAUGAAGUUAGUAAGCAUGUCAGGUUAAGCUUAAGAAAAAUGUAAAUGUUGUUUUCAAGUAACUUCUUGUGUCCAAACGCACGUUACUUCUCUUACUAAAGAAAAGUUAAUUAUUUUGAAAGUAACUCUCUCGCCUGUCAAUGGUUUUUGUUGAAAAACAGCUUCUAGACCAGAUUCUAUGUCAGCCGAGAUGAUCUGUUCCACACAAGGCUCGCUCGCUGCAAUGAACUCCAGGAUGGAAGCAGCUUUUCUUUGCAAAUCUAGGUCUGAUUUCUUCAAGAUAUCCACGAGGCGAUUAAGAACAGUGGGCUCCACAAGUUCUCUCCCGUCAGUGCUGCCAAAGCAGUAAAUUAGCACGACAACUAAUUAUUUUGGGUAAAUAAUGGAAGACUAAUUAUAGAACAGUAAAUAGCAUCAACAAUCAAGUCACAGCCUCACAGGAGAAAGCAUACAUUUCCUUAAUGACAAAUAACAAGAAUCUGCUACCGCUAUGUAUGUAUAACGGCCAAAUAUGUUGAUAAUUAGUUAUAAUGCAAACAUGGUCAUGGCAUUUAACCAUCUCAUCACAUGUAUUCCUUUAAAUCUUUAUCUUGAACACACCCCUUCACGUGCAGAGUUGCUUCAUUGUUCAAAGACCUGGCAUGAGCUCAAUUUUCUAAAUGGGUGGCGGUGAGACUUUCUCAUUAGUCUUUCGCCUAACCAUCUCAUCUAAAAGUUUAAACUAUUAGAGAGGGACCCCAACACAUUCAUUUAAAUCUUGUCUACAACGAUGAAAAUAUACACAAUAACGAACAUUAGGCAAGAUGAUAUAUGCAUAUUUCGAGCAAAGAAAAGUACAAAUCCAUUUUAACAGUGACAGAGUAGGAAGAUACAAAUGCAGUGGCAACUAGAUUGCAAUUUCAUAUGCAAUCAAUUAAUGUAACCCAGCAUGUGGUUAACUCGUACAACUUUUACACUUGUGCCGUUCAUUAUUUUUUAUCCAAGUACUUGAAAUAUUGUAAUAGAUCUUUUUGUUCCCUUGUGUACUAGUAAUAUGUAUAUCUGGGUAGCUUAUGUAAGGAUAUAUAACUGCCCUCGAGAUAAUGUAUUUGUAUUUGGCUGUACAGAUGUCAUUUCCAUUGAAAUAGAAAAUUUAAUGAUAAGGACUCCAAGUUCCUAUGGCAAAGGGUCGUGGUGGUCCGUGAUAAUCAAACCAUUAGUAAGAGUAACAUAAGUAUGACACUUUUUGGUAGUAGUGGUGAACCAGAUGGCCGCAUUUAGCACAAAAACUCAACAGAUGUGAUCUUUAAAGAGCCAAAGAAAGUAAUUCAAAUCUUUAUGGCUGGAAAAUAAGGGUAUGAUCUCUUUGACGUUUUCAUGCCAUUUUCCUUUUUCGAUUUUUCAAAAUGGUGAAAAUGUGUUCUCUUCCCCAUUUUGGAAAACGAGUUUUCAAAAAAAAAAAAAAAAAAAAAAAUUUGUGAAGAAAACACAAAACCACCAAAAUGCCAUUUUGAAUGUUUUCUGUACAAAACACGACAAAAACCCAAAACGCGCAAAACAGGAGAGAAAAAAAACCAACAGCUGUGACUUCCUGCUUCAUUCUCUCCUUUGGGUCGUCUCUUCCUUCUCCCUUCUCGACGCCGGCGACGGAGUGGUUGAUGGUGGUGCCGCCGGCGUGGGGAGGUGCAACCCAUUUGUCGCGACGCUGCUGUGGUUGGGUUCGUCGCGACGCUGCCAUGGUUGGAUUCGUCGCAACCCAUUCUCUCUUCAACGCCAGCUGUGGUUUGGGAGAGGCGAUUCGUAGCAACGUGAUGGGUGUUGAUGGUGGUUUCUUCUCCCUCCUCUCUCACUUUCGGGGGUUUUAUUCGUUUAUUGAUUUGGUGUUGAUGGUGGUCAGGGUGAUUUUUUGUUUUGAGUUUUUCGAUCUGGUGUUGAUGGUGGUUUAGGGUGGUUUUUCCAUUUGGGCUUUUUGGCAGUGGUGUGUGGUUCAGGGUGAUGGCAAUGGUGUUGAUGGUUGAUGGUGGUGGAAGUGGUCCAUGUUUAUUGGUGGUGGUAGUGUUGUUGACUGUUGAUGGUGGCGGCAGUGGUGUUGUCGGUGGAUGGUGGUGGUAAAAAGGUUUUCCAAAAUUUCAAAGAAUUUCAUAGUAAACACGUUUUUCAUUUUUUGUUUUGAGAAAUCGUUUUUCAAAAUGGCAAAAAGAACAUAUUUUCAACAAUUUCAAAACAAACACUCAAAACACAAAACUCAAAAUGAAUUCGUAACUCAAAAAACAAGACUGAAACACGAAGAGAACAGCCUCUGUGUUUCAGAUUUUCAAAAACAGAGGCAAUAAUUAACACACAACAGAAACAAUUUUGGAAAAUGAACCGAAGUAUAGCCUAAAAUAAAACUCAAUGAACUAAGCAUAUCCAACAAAAACAGAAAUAUUGAAGUCAUUUUUUCGGCACGUGUAGGCAGCAAAUUAAUUCACAGUAUACUAACAUGAGUAAAGAAGUCUACCUCAGAAGACAUUUUGCAGCCAAUGCCUCCGUGUAACCAUAUAAAAAAAUAUAUUCUUUGUUUAAGCCAAUGAACUAUCGUGAAAAUUUAACACCAAAUGUUUUCG